CUCAUCAUGGUUAACUCAUAUACAUGUACCAAAAAUCAGCCCAAUAUCUGAAGGUGUUUAGAAAAAAACUGAUGGUUUGUUGCGAAGUGAUGGAAUAACAGAAUGACAGACUAAAACUAAAUGGCACUGACAACUUUGUUGUGGAGCAAUAAAAAGAUGUGGUAUGACUGACUGCCAAUGAAACAACUCUCCACAAAAGAACAAAGGACACAUAAAUUUACAACUAUAGUUCACUGCAAAGCCCAUACUGCAUUAUAUAUAAGUCCACUAUAAAAGGCC
rnacentral:lncRNA from 1 species